rnacentral:rRNA from 1 species
UACGAAGGGGGCUAGCGUUGUUCGGAUUUACUGGGCGUAAAGCGCACGUAGGCGGAUCGUUAAGUCGGGGGUGAAAUCCUGGAGCUCAACUCCAGAACUGCCUUCGAUACUGGCGAUCUUGAGUCCGGAAGAGGUGAGUGGAACUCCUAGUGUAGAGGUGGAAUUCGUAGAUAUUAUGAAGAACACCAGUGGCGCAGGCGGCUCACUGGUCCGGUACUGACGCUGAGGUGCGAAAGCGUGGGGAGCAAACAGG